rnacentral:rRNA from 1 species
GAUGAACGCUGACAGAAUGCUUAACACAUGCAAGUCGACUCGAGUCUUCGGACUUGGGUGGCGGACGGGUGAGUAACGCGUAAAGAACUUGCCUCAUAGUCUGGGACAACAUUUGGAAAUGGAUGCUAAUACCGGAUAUUAUACUUUCUUCGCAUGGAGGAAGUAUGAAAGCUAUAUGCGCUAUGAGAGAGCUUUGCGUCCCAUUAGCUAGUUGGUGAGGUAACGGCCCACCAAGGCGAUGAUGGGUAGCCGGCCUGAGAGGGUGAACGGCCACAAGGGGACUGAGACACGGCCCUUACUCCUACGGGAGGCAGCAGUGGGGAAUAUUGGACAAUGGACCAAAAGUCUGAUCCAGCAAUUCUGUGUGCACGAUGACGUUUUUCGGAAUGUAAAGUGUUUUCAGUCGGGAAGAAGCAAGUGACGGUACCGACAGAAGAAGCGACGGCUAAAUACGUGCCAGCAGCCGCGGUAAUACGUAUGUCGCAAGCGUUAUCCGGAUUUAUUGGGCGUAAAGCGCGUCUAGGCGGCAAGGAAAGUCUGAUGUGAAAAUGCGGGGCUCAACUCCGUAUUGCGUUGGAAACUGCCUUACUAGAGUACUGGAGAGGUAGGCGGAACUACAAGUGUAGAGGUGAAAUUCGUAGAUAUUUGUAGGAAUGCCGAUGGGGAAGCCAGCCUACUGGACAGAUACUGACGCUAAAGCGCGAAAGCGUGGGUAGCAAACAGG